CAAUAGCGUAUAUUAAAGUUGUUGCAGUUAAAGCUCGUAGUUGGAUUUGUGGCGUACGGUGUGUUCCGGGCACUUGUUGUCUGAGUAACCUGCCGUUGCCAUCCUUGGGUGGAACCUGUGUGGGCAUUAGGUUGUCGUGCAGGGGAUGCCCAUCAUUUACUGUGAAAAAUUAGAGUGUUCAAAGCAGGCUUAUGCCGUUGAAUAUAUUAGCAUGGAAUAAUAAGAUAGGACUUUGGAACUAUUUUGUUGGUUUGCGUUACAAAGUAAUGAUUAAUAGGGACAGUUGGGGUGAUUCGUAUUUCGUUUGUCAGAGGUGAAAUUCUUGGAUUUCCGAAAGACGAACUACUGCGAAAGCAUUUACCAAGGAUGUUUUCAUUAAUCAAGAACGAAAGUUAGGGGAUCGAAGAUGAUUAGAU
rnacentral:rRNA from 1 species